UACGUAGGGUGCGAGCGUUAAUCGGAAUUACUGGGCGUAAAGCGUGCGCAGGCGGUUCGUGAUGUCUGAUGUGAAAGCCCCGGGCUCAACCUGGGAAUUGCAUUGGAAACUAGCGGGCUGGAGUGUGGCAGAGGGGGGUGGAAUUCCACGUGUAGCAGUGAAAUGCGUAGAGAUGUGGAGGAACACCGAUGGCGAAGGCAGCCCCCUGGGCUAACACUGACGCUCAUGCACGAAAGCGUGGGGAGCGAACAGG
rnacentral:rRNA from 1 species